AUUUACAGUAGAAGAAGACCUAUUUCCAGAACCCACGGGCAGGGGUGUACUGUAACGUGCAUCCACAUCGUGUGAGCUCGCGUGAGCUCCGGGAAUUGUCUUGCGGAUAUUUCAAACUCUGCCUUUCGGAUGAUCUUCCCGUGUUAACUGGGAGCGGGGUGAAAGGGUGUGGCACCGCAGACAGGUUCACCAAGGGCAUCUGCGCAGAUUUAGGAGACGGCGCACAUUCCUCUUUCUCAUGAGACCAGAAAACGAGAACAAAACUCAGUCAAUCGCACACCGAGCGCCCGCCGACCGCUCUGAGAUCCGCACUGAUGGGGUCCCGCGCUUUGACUCGGGAACGGAGGCAGCGCUCCUGACGACCGACCACUCGCUAGAAAACAAUACUGCCAUUGUGCGGCCGCGGCUUGGGGCCGCCGACCUCGCACUGUACCCGCUGCGGGCGCUCCCAAAUGUCACCCGAACCUGAAGUUCACAGCAAAGCAGCGCAGGGGACAGCACUCGCAGCCGUCCCAGAAGGGCAAAGUUAAGGCACAAAAGACGUAUUCUGAGCGUCCGGACCAACACGCCGCCCUCCUCCCUCCUCGAUUCCUUGAAGUACUUAAACCAAGGCAGUCUUCCUUUUAGAGAGCUAUGAAAAAGGAACUCUCAUAAAAAAGAACCAAAACGUUUACUUCCUUGGAAAGCAGAUUAACUCAAAACAGUUCCAAGUCAUUUGGAGCAGGAGUAAUUGUGAAAGUUCAGAUGUUUCAUGGUUUUAACUUCUACAAUUGGGCCUACGAUCAAGGUGUGAGAUAAAAAUCAGUGUUCAUUCCUCCCCCGCCCCCCCAUAUAUGACAGCUAUUUGAUAAAAAGACUUUUCUGAGCCAUUAAGUUACGUUGGCAUCUUUGUUGAAAGUGACGUGGUUGCAUACAGGUGGGCAUGCCGUGGCAUUUCCUGAUGCGUUCGGUUCAUCUGCACGGACGCCACGGUGCCUCCGUCUCUAGCUUCACAAAAGAUCUGGCAGAGUUCGGGAGAGUAAGCUCUCCAGCUGUUCUUUUACAAGUUGCGUUGACUCUUUGAAUUUCGUAGGCAUUCUAAAAGGAGUUUGCCAUUUUCUAUAAAGGAUUUUGGCGGGCAUCGAAUGUACUUAUCACCUUGGAGAAAGUGGACGCGUUAACAACCGGAUGUGGCUCUUCAUUUGUUUCACUCUCCUUUAAAUUAUUUUCAUUUUCAGGGGACAUGUCUUUGUGCAUAGUCUGUAAUCUCUCUCUCUGUAUCCCACACAUUUCUGGGUGCUACUGUGAAUGGGGCUGUACUUUUAAAUUUCAUUCUCUGGUUGUUGCUAGAAUGUGGAAAGAAAUACGGUUGACCUUUGUUUAGCGACCUCUUGUGACUUUGCUAAAUUGGCUCAUUAGCUCUGGUUGCAGUUUUGUAGAUUUGAUUCGUUCUACCCCCAUGAUCAUGUCGUGUGAAUAAAGACUACUAACUCCCUCCCAUCUCUAUGAGUUUUCUUUCUUUUUCCUGUCUUGGUGCAGUGGCUAAGACCUCCACCCCAGCCUCGUCCCAGCCUCCAGGCCAAAGCUUGCAGUCUGUUGCCAUGUAACGUAAUGUUAAC